rnacentral:rRNA from 1 species
UUUUGGACGAUGGGCGCAAGCCUGAUCCAGCAAUGCCGCGUGCAGGAUGAAGGCCUUCGGGUUGUAAACUGCUUUUGUACGGAACGAAACGGUCCUUUCUAAUACAAGGGGCUAAUGACGGUACCGUAAGAAUAAGCACCGGCUAACUACGUGCCAGCAGCCGCGGUAAUACGUAGGGUGCGAGCGUUAAUCGGAAUUACUGGGCGUAAAGCGUGCGCAGGCGGUUAUAUAAGACAGAUGUGAAAUCCCCGGGCUCAACCUGGGACCUGCAUUUGUGACUGUAUAGCUAGAGUACGGUAGAGGGGGAUGGAAUUCCGCGUGUAGCAGUGAAAUGCGUAGAUAUGCGGAGGAACACCGACGGCGAAGGCAAUCCCCUGGACCUGUACUGACGCUCAUGCACGAAA